rnacentral:rRNA from 1 species
GCUAAACGCGAAGAACCUUACCAAGGCUUGACAUAUACGAGAACGCUCUAGAAAUAGGGAACUCUUUGGACACUCGUAUACAGGUGGUGCAUGGUUGUCGUCAGCUCGUGUCGUGAGAUGUUGGGUUAAGUCCCGCAACGAGCGCAACCCUCGUUCUAUGUUGCCAGCGGUUCGGCCGGGAACUCAUAGGAGACUGCCGGGGUCAACUCGGAGGAAGGUGGGGAUGACGUCAAAUCAUCAUGCCCCUUAUGUCUUGGGCUUCACGCAUGCUACAAUGGCCGGUACAAAGGGCUGCAAUACCGUAAGGUGGAGCGAAUCCCAAAAAGCCGGUCUCAGUUCGGAUUGAGGUCUGCAACUCGACCUCAUGAAGUCGGAGUCGCUAGUAAUCGCAGAUCAGCAACGCUGCGGUGAAUACGUUCCCGGGUCUUGUACACACCG